UAUAUGAUCCUGAAAUAUCUAUACAUCAAAGAUAAAAAGGGAAAAGAUGAAGGAGGAUUUGUCCAUGAAGACCUUUAUUGCAACUACCAUCUUCCAGUUCCUUAAUUUGAGAAUGAUAUCAGAGAACACAAAGUUACAGUAAAAUAUUAGUUUAAUAUAAGCCACUGAGAAUAGUCAAAUGUACUUUCCUGAAGAAGAUGAAUGACAUCCAGCACAAAAAUAUUAAUGUAUAAAGAGUAUGAUUUUAUGGUGUUUGACACUAUGAUCUUGUUAACAUGUUAAUGUCACAAUGAUAGAAACAGAGUAAAAUAUCCACAUUUCAUUGCAGUUUUAAGUAUUAAAACUAGAUACUCUAUAUAUACCAAAGCUUAUACACACCAGAGAUAAGGUUUUUCAUGGAAUCACCGUAUAGUCAUAUGACAUUAUGGACAUUAAAUGACUAUGAAGUAAAGAUUAGCAAAAAUAUUAUAUAUCAUCUACUACUAAUAUUGUGAGGUAAUCAUUGAUAAGCUCACAAAUUUGCAUUCAAAGCUUUGAUAUCAAGCUGAACAUUUUUCAAUUAGAAUAUGAUUUAUAACUCUAUGAUAAUUUGUUCAUGUUAAUUUUCAAAGUCUUUACAUUUGUAAAAGGAAAUAUUCUUAUUCUUGUAUCAGUAGACAUUCACAGUGUAAAGUUACAUUGUCCAAAUAACUAAUAAUAAUUCCAAGUGCUUUCCUGAAGUUUUUCUUCCACUGGAAAAUCAGUGUGAUAUAUAUGCUAAGCAGUGCACUAUAAAUUGUGUAAAAAUAAAAGUUUAUUAAACUUA